rnacentral:lncRNA from 1 species
AAGUCCCUUUAAAAAAAGAUUAGAAAGAAAAGUCUCAUAAACACUUUCCUACUAAUAUUUUUACAUAUGGAGAAAGCCUUAAGAUCUUUUCUCUUAACACUACUCUUGUUGCUUCACUAUGUUAUGCCUAGUUCAACCAUGACUCGUACCAACGUUUCUACGGAUCAAUUAACUCUUCUCUCUUUGAAAUCUCAAAUUAGUUCCGACCCUUUCCAUUACUUGGAUGAAAGUUGGUCUCUCAAUAUUUCUGUUUGUCAUUGGGUAGGAGUCACUUGUGGUUCUCGCCACCAGCGAGUGAAGGCCUUGAAUUUUUCCAACAUGGCUCUUAUAGGGAGGAUUCCCCGUAAUUUUGGAAACCUCACAUUUCUUGUUUCUCUUGACUUGGGAAGCAACAACUUCCAGGGAAAUUUGCCUCAAGAAAUGGCACACUUGCGUCGGCUUAAGUUUGAACAAAUUCAGAGGGGAAAUUCCUUCUUGGUUUAGGCUUUUACACCAACUUCAAUAUGUAAGUCUUAGAAAUAAUAGUUUCACUGGUUCACUCCCAUCCUCGUUGCAUUUUGUUUCACUAUGGAGGAACAAUCUCAAAGGAUCCUUACCACGGGAGAUUGUCAACUUAACCAAGAUGCAAGUUUUAUAUCUUAACGAAAAUAGGUUUGUUGGUACGUAUUCAAAGUGAUAGCAAUCUGUAUUGAACUAGCUAGUUAGUAAACUUAAAUCUUUCUUCAUGUGUUGACAGGUGAAAUACCCAAAGAGAUAAGAAAUCUCGUUGAGUUGGAGAAACUUGGUCUUCAGUUUAAUAGUUUUAGUGGUUCACUUGAUAUGGAGAUGUUCAACAUAUCAGGGAUGAGAGCAAUUGAUCUUUCAGCCAACAAUCUACCAGGGACCAUCCAACCAAACAUAGGUUCUAUCUUACCCAACAUUGAAGAGCUUUAUCUGAGUCGCUUAACCAAUCUCGUUGGGACUAUUCCUUAUUCUAUCUCCAAUUGUUCAAAGCUUACUAAUCUAGAGCUUUCAUACAACAAACUCACAGGAUUGAUUCCCAAUUCUCUUGGAUAUUUGACUCAUCUACGCUUCCUAAACUUGGGGGGAAACAAUUUAACCAGUGAUUCAUUUUUAAGCUUCCUCACUUCCUUAACCAAUUGCAGAAAUUUAACAUCUCUUUAUCUAUCUUUCAACCCUCUAAAUGGCAUGCUUCCAGUCUCCGUAGGGAACUUCUCCAUAUCUCUUGUAAUUUUUUAGCCACUGCUUGCAAGAUCAACGGCCAGAUUCCAAAUGAAGUUGGAAACUUAAGCAGCUUAUUAGACCUUGAUCUUUCUUAUAAUAACUUAAUUGGAUCAAUUCCAUCAUCAACUCAGAACUUGAGUAACCUUCAGCGUAUGCAUUUUGAAUACAACAAACUUACAGGAUUUAUUGGAGAUCAUAUAUGUAAAUUGCAUUAUUUGGGUUUUGAUAGACUUCACUCAAAAUCAACUUUCAGGAUCUAUUCCAAAUUGUUUAGGGAACGUUACCUCCCUUAGAGAGAUAUAUCUGAAAUCCAAUAAAUUGAGUUCCAAUAUACCAACAAGCUUAGGAAAUCUGAAAGAUUUAGUGGUUCUUGACUUAUCAUCAAACAACAUGGUUGGUUCUUUACCUCCGGAAAUUGGAAAUCUAAAAUCUGUGAUACAGAUGGAUUUGUAGAUGAAUCAAUUCUCAAAUGGAAUUCCAAGAGAAAUUGGAGGAUUGCAAAAUCUGGUGCAUCUUUCUUUGAGACACAACAAGUUGCAAGGAUCUAUACCUGACUCAAUGAGCAACAUGGUAGGUUUGGAAUUCCUAGACCUUUCUCAUACUAAUAUAUCAGGAAUCAUUCCUAUGUCUUUGGAGAAACUUCAAUACCUCAAGUAUUUCAAUGUUUCUGACAACAAAUUGCACGGCGAAAUACCCUCGGCGGGUCCUUUCAAGAACGUCUCGAGUCUUUUUUUCAUCAACAAUGAAGCAUUGUGUGGUUCUUCAAGAUUUAGCGUCCCUCCAUGCCCCACUUCAUCAAAGCAUAGGUCAAAUAGGAAAAAAAAUCUUAUGCUGGGAAUUGCACUUGUAUUUGUUCCUAUUACCCUUGUGUUUGUAUGGAUAAGGUAUAGAAGAGGUAAAAGAUCUCCUCAGCAAACUGAUUCAUUGUCUAUGGCAACAACGGAAAGAAUUUCAUACUAUGAACUGCUCCAAGCAACUGAUUCGCUUAGCGAGAGUAAUCUGAUUGGUUCUGGAAGUUUUGGCUCUGUUUAAAAAGGCGUUCUCAGGAGUGGGACUGCCAUUGCAGUUAAAGUGUUCAAUCUGCAACUGGAAGCGGCAUUCAAGAGUUUUGAUACAGAAUGUGAAGUUUUACGCAGCCUUCGCCACAGGAAUCUCGUGAAAGUCAUCACUAGUUGCUCCAACCUUGAUUUUAAGGCUUUAGUGCUCGAGUAUAUGCCUAAUGGAAGUCUUGACAAGUAUUUGUAUUCGCACAACUACUUCCUAGACAUCAGACAGAGACUAAGCAUUAUGAUAGAUGUGGCAUGUGCGUUGGAAUAUUUUCAUCAUGGAUGCUCCUCUCCCGUGAUUCACUGUGAUCUGAAGCCUAGUAACGUCUUGCUGGAUGUGGAUAUGGUUGCCCACCUAAGCGACUUUGGUAUUUCAAAACUGCUUGGUCAAGAUGAGAGUGAUUUAUACACAAAAACCUUAGCAACAUUUGGUUAUAUAGCACGGGGUACAUCUCUUUAUUUUUGCUAAUUUGAACAUUGAUUUUUCCUCUUAUUCUUUUUUUUUCCAAUCAAGAAAGUAUAUUGCAUCUUUUAAUUAAUUGUUUGACUGUAGAGUAUGGGCUGGAUGGACUAGUGUCAAUAGAAUGUGACAGGUAUCCGAGAUUUCUUCACUCUUUUUGGUAGGAAAUUAAUAGACUCCAGGGCACCUCUCUGGGUAUGAGUACAGCGUAUCACCCACAAACUUAUGGCAGUGCUGCAGAUGAUUUAGUCGAGAAGUACAUGCUGAAGAGAGAUGAUGUUUUGGUGCUACUUAAGAACAACUUGUCCCAAGGCUCAAGGGUGGCCAAUUGAAUAUAUUUCACCCAAAUUAUAAUGCGUAUGUGUCAAGUAUCCAUUUGUACAUUGUGGCACGAACUCUACGCACAAGUUUAAAGUUUUUCUUUAAAAAAAAAUAAAAUUGCAAGACUUGGUUGUCCAAUUGGUCAAGUCUUCAAACGAUAAAAUCCAUACAAAUUAACGUUGUUUUUUUAUUUUCAAGAAUAGAAAUUUAUAAAAAUAUCUCUGAAUAAAAAAAUUGGCUUCAACUUACAUAUUAGGUAGACACUUAUACUUGUAUUAAAUUGAAGAAAUAGACACAUGUGUCCUAAGUGACAUAAUACCUAUAAGAUGCCACGUAGGACACAAAAUUGUCAUUACGUAGGACAAAUGUAUUUAUUUGUUCUAUUUUAUACAAGUUUAAGUGGCUAGUUGUGCACACCCAAAGUUAAAGGGCAUAGUUAUCAGCUGAAGUCAAAUUAAGAGUCAUGUUUAUAUAUUAUGGCCUUUAAAUAUAACUUUGAGCAUCUUUUGAACAAGUUAAUUAGAUGUACAUCUUUGCCCCACAUUUACGUUUGCAAGACUUGGUUGAUUUUGGUCUUCUUCAGUUUGUCAAAUCUUUAGGACCCACGAAACUUGGAAAUUUUUCCUAAAACAAUCACAACCAAUACAAAUUAAUGGGAAAAGGUAGAAGACCCAAAUCUCAGAGACACACCUUAAUUAAACUAAGGUCCUAUUACCCCUUGAACUCAUUUUUUUUUGUGAUUUUGGACACCUUUUUGACUUAUGUGGCAUCCAAAUAUCUCCUACGCGCCUCAACUGCGUGGAGUCACGGGGUGUGCCACAUAAAAAAAGUCAAUGCAUCAAAAAGAGAGAAAAAAAACUUGAUUGUUUAUAUUUGAUAUUGAUAAAUGUUGAGAUCAUUCAUGGUAGAAUCCCUAGGUUAAACAAAUAACAUUCAGCUCACUUGUUAAAAAAUAAUAAUCUUGAACACCCUUGAUGAAAUAUCUGGCUCCGCCAAUGCUUGUAAAGAAAUAGAGGAACGAUGUAUACUUAGUGAAGAGGAAGUUACGAGUUUUAUAUUGGAUUUCUUUUUCUUUUCUUUUUUUGAGAAUUUUUAAAAAUGAAGGACAAAAUAGUAAAAGACUUGAUCAAAUCAAAAGUGUUCUUAAGCUAAAAAUUAAUAAGUUAUGGAUGACCAACUUAUGACUUUGUUGAUUUUAGUUUAUAAGUACUUUGAAUGUUUACUAAACAAGUACAUAGCUAAAAAAAUGAUUUCUAAGUUAGUUUAACGAGCCUAUAAGCUUAGUCAAACAUCUCCCAAAUAUCUCAUUUUGUACAUUUUAUCUCCUAAGUGAGAAGCAAUAAUGAUCAAAACAAUGAUGUAUUUUAUUUUUAUUUUUUUGCAAGAUUCAUACAUGAACUAUCAUGUGUUUGUAUAUUUUAUCUGAACUAUCACAAAUUAUACAAGUUAACUCUUUUUUCCGUAAAAUCUCAAAUCAUUUUGGACCCGUUUCACUUCUCGAUAUAGCUAGCUAGCUAGUGGACAUACCUUUAGUAGAAGGCAACUUGGGAAGUCUUUGGACUAAAUAGAUGAAUAACUUUGCCACCACAUUUAUGGUUUCCAAAACUUGAUGUAUAUUUGGUCCUAACCAAUUUUGACAAGUCUUUGGACCCACAUAACCUGGAAAAUUCCCUAAAAUGAUAAUAGCCAAUACAAAUUAAUGUUGUGUAUUAAUUUAUUUUAAAAAAGAAAACGAAAAAAUAUACCCCUCAUUAAAAAUAUGAUGCAUAUAUAUCCUCACAGUCUAACAAAUAUUUUUCCGACGUAUAAUCUAAGUUGCUAAAAGUAGCACUACAUUUCACCACACAAUUAUAGAGAAAAUAAGAGACUUUAGUUGACUUGCACAAGCCUUCGGAUGAUUAGGAGAAUUUUUGCACCAUUUUACAUUUCUGAUUGAUUUGGUAGUAUUAGUAUUGAUAUGAAUAAAUAAAAGUAAUUUCUUUUAAAAAAAAAUAAUAAUCAUGUUGAUCUCAUUGCUAUUUAAAGCCUCAAUACCACUUGUUACUUGCCAUAUCAUUUUUCUAUUAAUAUUUGCACUAAUAUAAUGGAGAAAGCCUUUACAUUUUUCCUCUUGACAAUACUCUUGUUGCUUCACUAUGUUAUGACCCAAACCAACAUUACGACUGAUCAAUUAGCUCUUCUCUCUUUGAAAUCUCAAAUUAGUUCCGAUCCUUUUCAUUACUUGGAUGAAAGUUGGUCUCCUACUAUUUAUGUUUGUCAUUGGGUAGGAGUCACUUGUGACUACCGUCACCAGAGAGUGAAGUCCUUGAAUCUUUCCGACAUGGCUCUUACCGGCAGGAUUCCUCGUGAUUUUGGAAACCUCACAUUUCUUGUUU